AUGACAUUUCUUUUUGUAGUUCCCUGGCUUUUUUGAGCAAGGCGGGGGAGCUGUGAUGGCAGAAUAAUGGGGUAGGAACAUCUUGUAAUAUGGACAGCCACAUGGCAAAUUGGAAGGGUCACCUGAAGCCACCUGAAGCCCUCAAACACACAUUUUUCAGGAUUCACAGUUGUGAAGACUGUGAAUACCAUGCACUAUGGUAACAAGUGGACCUUUGGCAUAUGACAGAAACAUCUCAGGAGGAGGUAUCUGAUAUUUCACUAGACGAGUGCACUUAUUGACAUCCACUUCACUGUCAGUCCAAAGCCUUUACAUUAAUGUGUAUGAAGGGCGCACAGUAGCAGUUGCAGUUAGAUUGGAGUUACCGAAACAUCCAAAACAUCCACACCUUGGACAUUUGUAGCAACAAGUGUACAAUUUUAAGGAUUUUGCUUUUAUAUGGGGUUAUAUUAUAUUUUAACACAUGCAUUUCAAGCAAAUGAGCUAUGUCUGUAACAUGCUUCUCUGUAUAUUUGUAAUCUGUAUGGAUUGUUGUGUACUGUUUUUUUUUUUUUUUUCUAAAAAAUGUUUUUGCUUAUUGCCUUGCUUAAUAUUAAGGUUGCUAAAAUGCUAUUAUUUAUUUAAAAAUGUAAUACUUAUAGUUUACCAAAGUUUUUUUUUAUUCUGUAAUUAAUUAUUAUCUGGAUUUAUCGUACAUUUUAUCAUAGUUUUAUGUAAUUUAUUGAAACACCACUGCAUAUGGUGCAUAAAGCUGUAAUAAAAAAAAAUCAUGUUAAAUCAACAAGGUAACAGCAUAAAAACAACAUAAAAAAAAUCAUGUUCAUUUGACAAACACAAGUUACGUAACAUAAAUGGAUAUGAAUUAUGUUGAA